UACGGAGUGUGCAAGCGUUACUCGGAAUCACUGGGCAUAAAGCGCGCGUAGGCGGGUUUCCAAGUCGGUUGUGAAAUCCCUCAGCUCAACUGAGGAACUGCAUCCGAUACUGUUUGUCUUGAGGACGGGAGGGGAGAGUGGAACUUCUGGUGAAGCGGUGAAAUGCGUAGAUAUCAGGAGGAACGCCGGUGGCGAAAGCGACUCUCUGGCCCGUAUCUGACGCUGAGGCGCGAAAGCUUGGGUAGCAAACGGG
rnacentral:rRNA from 1 species